rnacentral:lncRNA from 10 species
UAGUGAUCUGACAAGCUCCUCAACAAAUAUGUAUCAAAGAUUCAAUUUUACUUAUUAAAAUGAUUUACAUGGGUCAAACCCAUGCACCUAAAACCACUGCAGUAAUUCGUUAACCCAUUCUGCUUUGGGCGACUAACAUUUGCAUCAACAAGGGCUUGAUUGUGGAUUUAAAGCAUUAUACAGCACUAGACUUCACUGGAGCUUUGCAUGUAAAGCUCCAUCUGGGCAGUUUUCCAGCUGGGUAAUCUCAGAGGACUGAUGUCUAUUCCUCAGGCACUAGUUAGACUAGACACUCUUGUUUAUUCAUCUCUUUCAUUUGCUAGGCCUACCACAGACCACCCUCUUCCAUCCUAUGCCUUCUUUUAACCUAACCUGAGACAGAGCUGGGAAGUCUUUGCCUUGGCGUGGCUGGAAAUAUCAGGGAGAAGAAAUUUGGAAGAAAUGUUAGUCAAAAUGCUGAAGCAACUCUUCUUUCCUCCCUACCAAAGGAUCUGAAAGACUAAUUAGCCUUGAGAGUGACAUAAAAUUCCAAUGCCAGACAUCCCAGCUUUAUGCUCAUACUUAUGGUAAAAUAUCCAGGAUAUAAAAUGAAUCAUUUUCCCUUGAUGUAUAAACAGAUGUUCAUUCAGUCACCUGUGCAAGUAAAUAUCCACCCUAUCCUUAACCAUGCUGUUUCUAAUAGUCUUUGGAAAACACACAUCUGAUCAUACCAUUCUCUUCCUUUAAGACUUGAUGCUUCUCUUAUCUAGUAGCUUUAAAACUGUUGGAGAGGGAGUCAGUAGCCAAUGGAUCUAAUUUUACUCAUGUUGCUUCUUUUUUUUUUUUCUUUUUUUCUCGCUAAUCGCUAUGCUUCAAAGCAGAUAAGAUAGAGAAAAAAAGAUAUUCCUUAAAUUUUUUAGCAUCUAAAUUGUGAAUUUCGUAUGGACUCUGUCAUGGAAAUGUAUGUUCAUCCUCUUUGAAGAUCCACAAAUUAUUCUGUAUUUAAUGGGCCUUUGUAGGCUGGUCUGGGGAACCUAUCACAGAUGAUUUAACUUCACUGUGAAAAUAUGUUUUUUGGUAAUUUUUUAUUUAGAUAUAAUGCCACGUUU